ensembl:lncRNA
CUCAGCGUUUGGAAAUCUGACUUCUUGUUUAAGGAGCCAGAUCAUUCUCCUAUCAAACCAAAGAUAUCAGGCGAGGAUCGAAUCCAGGAUUCUACAUGGCUUUUAGUCGUCAGGUGUCCGUAUCCUGUUCUUGGCUGUCGUGCAUCUCUUCCCAUCUGGGACGGUUUUCUCCAUCUUUCCCCACUUUUUAUUACUUUCGAAGAGAAGUGGACAGAUAUUCAUAGGAUGUCCCUCAGUUUGGGUUGACUUGAGGUUUUCUCACGUGUAGAAUGAGGUUAUGGAUUUGGAGAGAAGGUCACAGAGGCGAGGUCUUCUCAGUGCAUCGUGUCACAGGGGAAAGGAUGCCAAUGUGACCUCUCACUGCUGCUCCUAACCUGGUGGUCACCAGGUGAAGGUGCUGCCCUCCUGGCUUCUCUCUUGUGAGGGUAGGUGGCCACUGGCAGUCUCACCUCCGUGCUCUUCUGGCACCAGAACCUUCAGCUCCAAAUUGUUAAGUCUGAGGGGAGACAUAUUGGUCCAGCUUGGGAAUCAUGAUGUCCUUCGACCAAUCCCACCCAGGAGAAUUGGAUACUGUGAUGGCUCAAGUCCCGGAUGUGGAGGUGAAUAGCAGAAGAGGGGAGACUGGAAAGCUUGUGCAUCAGAGAAACAGUCCUGUUCUGUAGCCCUGGGCCCACUCCUUCCUGCAUCCAGGGCCUGGCUGCUCAUACUGUUGACUCAGUUCUGAACUGAUGUCUCCAUGGACUCUGCACCUGAUUCCAGAUCAUUAAAGCCCACGUACUUGCUUGAGCUCAGGUGCGAUUCUAACUGUUUUGAAACUCUCUUCUGGAAAUCAUAUUGAAAUAAUUGUGAUCACGUGAUCCAUCACACAUUAACCCAAGUUAGCACCUUUCUACCUCCUUGUAUAAAAGUGUCAAAUCUCUGGGUGAAUGUUUCACAAAAUGCCCAUGUAUAAGAUCAAGCAUGUCUAAUUCGAACUACCUGUGGGAAGGACAAUCUGGAUUAGAAAAACAUCGGAAUCCUGAUUUAUAUUUUAAGUAAUUCAAGUUUCUGUGUUACUGAUUAGGGUUCUAGCGACAGACAGACAAAAGCCACUCUGGGUGGUCUCGGUAGAAAUGACUUAUUAGGAAGUCUAGCUAGCCCACAGGAUGGUGAGGAUAGCUGAAGAGACUGUCUUGUGGCUCUACUCCAGGAAUGACUCCCAAGACCACAUUGUAGGACUCGGCUGCCAACGGAGCUGCUGCGUCCCCAUGGUCAGAAAGCAGCUGGAUGAGGACGCCACCUGCCCCGGCUCCUGGCUCCACAACUGAACCAGCUCUGCCAGGAUCUGUCAGCAAAACGGACGCAUGGCGCCUCUCUCUCUCCGUGUAAUGCCUUCCCAAGUUAAAGUCUCACGCAAGCACCUUUUCCUCUGUGCAAUUUCACUCUCAGUCAAGGUCGUGUGCAAGUACACGUGACUGUUGGACUAAGUCACACCUGGAACUCGAGCUGCAAGGGAGUUUAGGCGAGUCCGCGUGGAGCUUUCCAGCCUCUGUGCAGUAGACGGGGUUGGGCUUGGAACAGAUGUUGAAUGAGCAUCUUCUCUGGCUUCCCCUAAUCCUCACAGAGAGAAGAUGCUUGAUAAAUGUGUGUGAAUGUUUGCGUGUGUGUGCGCGCGCUAUAGACUGAAUGUUUGUUCCCCCCCUCAAUUCAUAUAUUAAAUCCCAGUGCCCAAGGUGAUAGUAUUUAGAGGUGGGGCCUUUGGGAGGUGAUUAGGUCAUGGGUGUGGACCUUCAUGAAGGGCAUUAGUGCCUUCAUAAAAGAGACCCCAGGGGCUGGCUCUGUGGCCGAGUGGUUAAGUUCACACACUGUGUUUCAGCGGCCCAGGAUUUCGCGGGUUCAGAUCCUGGGUGCAGACAUAGCACUGCUCAUCUAAGCCAUGCUGAGGCGGCGUCCCACAUAGCACAACCAGAGGUGCUCACAACUAGAAUAUACAACUAUGUACUGGGGGGCUUUUGUGGAGAAGAAGAAGAAGAAGAAGAAAAAGAAGAUUGGCAACAGAUGUUAGCUCAGGUGCCAAUCUUAAAAAAAAAAGAGAGACUCCAGGUCCUUCCACCAUGUAAGGACGCAGUGAGAAGAUGGUCAUUAGUGAACCAGAAAGCUGGCUCUCACUACGUACUGAAUCUGCCAGCCUUGGACUUCCCAGCCUCCAGAACUGUGAGAAAUAAAUUUCUGUUGUUUAGAAGCCA